CGGCAAGAGCUCAAAUUUGAAAUCUGGAGCCUUUGGCUUCCGAGUUGUAAUUUGAAGAGGAUGCUUCGGUUGUGGCCUGGGCCUAAGUUCCUUGGAACAGGACGUCAUAGAGGGUGAGAAUCCCGUACGUGACUG
rnacentral:rRNA from 1 species